rnacentral:rRNA from 1 species
CAGAGGGUGCGAGUGUUAAUCGGAAUUAUUGGGCGUAAAGCGCGCGCAGGCGGUUCCUUAAGUCUGAUGUGAAAGCCCCCGGCUCAACCGGGGAAGGUCAUUGGAAACUGGGGAACUUGAGUGCAGAAGAGAAGAGCGGAAUUCCACGUGUAGCGGUGAAAUGCGUAGAGAUGUGGAGGAACACCAGUGGCGAAGGCGGCUCUUUGGUCUGUAACUGACGCUGAGGCGCGAAAGCGUGGGGAGCAAACAGGAUUAGAUACCCUGGUAGUCCACGCCGUAAACGAUGAGUGCUAAGUGUUAGAGGGUUUCCGCCCUUUAGUGCUGCAGCUAACGCAUUAAGCACUCCGCCUGGGGAGUACGGCCGCAAGGCUG